GUGAAUCAUAAAGUAGAUAUUUAACUUUGCCUGGAAGUAGAUGUUAUAAAAAAAAAAAGAGGGGGCAUUUAACAAAUGGGACCUAAGAGUGGGGACACUUCCCUGGAAAAGUGGCAGGCAGAGGUUACAAUAUCAGGGGAGUGGUGAGUCAUUAGCCUUCAGAGGAAGUGAGUCAAGAUUCAUACAUCUGGAAUGCACAAAGCAAGGGGAAAUCAGCAGGGACUGGUCAUCCGGAAGCUGUGAUGGAGAGAAUCCAUGGUCCCAUGGAUUCAGCGGGAGGCAGUUACAGUCACUCACAGCAGAGUCUGGGGAAACGGAAAGGAUGUAGAAGCCAAGAGCAUCGCUUUGGACAGGAGAGACAAGGGCAUUCUUACCGAAUCAUCUCAAGAUGGCCUAAACAACAGAAACCUAUUGGUGGAGGCUGGAAGUCUAAGAUGAAGAGCCCUCAUCCAGUGGCUGAUGGAAGCAGAGGCAGACACCCACAGAUAUACACUGAACUGAACUCUGGAACUUAGUUGCAGAGAGGGAGGAAUGAAGAUCAAAGGGGUCGGUACCAGGCUGGUGAAACCCACAGAAACAGCUGGCCUGAACAAGGGGGAGCACAUGGACCCCAGACUGCUGUCUGGGAGGCCAGUGCAGGACUGAUCCAGACCCCUGAACAUAGAUGUCAAUCAGGAGGCCUCUGCACUCUAGGGGGCCCCUGGUAGUGGAUUAGUAUUUUUCCCUGGUGUAAGAAGGGACUUUGAGAGCCCAUCCCACUUGAAGGAAUGCUCUCUCGGCCUGGACACAUGUGGGAGGGCCUAGGCCCAGCCCAGGAUGAUGUGGUGGACUUUGGGGGAACCCCAUCAAAGGCCCUACCCUGCCUGGGAAGUGAAGGGUGGAUGGGGUGGGGAGUAGGUGGGAGGCUGGGAGGGAGGGGUGGGGGGGAGGGAAGGAGAGGGGAGGGAUUGACAUGUAAAGCAAGCUUGUUCCUAAUUUGAACUAAUAAAAAAAAAUUUUAAAACCG
rnacentral:lncRNA from 1 species